CGGGUCAAAACACUGCAUUAUGUGAAAUCAUUAAAAUUUACCAGUAUUUAUUAAAAUCAUUAUUAAAUACAUAUUAAGUUAAAGUACCUAUUUCAUGUAGUUUAUUCGACUAAAAUAAUUGUACAUGGCAGAUUCAGAAAAGCCAACAAACGUUUCGGUAGAGGCAAACAGGCCGGCUGCAACCCGCCCCGCGCGCCCAGAUUUUGUGAUCAAAGCCACUGGAGCAGAAGCCAAAAACUAUGACUUUGCCUCUGCUCGGCUUGCAUCAGGGCCCAUCAAGACUACUAAUAUCCUCGAAACGGUGGGCAACCUGAUCAAAACAUGCCUUGGAGGCGGCGUAGUCGGUAUACACGCGGCUUACAAAAAGUGUGGCCUGAUCUCUGCGUUCCUUAUCAAUAUCUUGGCAGGGAUGAUGCUCAUACACAGCAAGUAUGUAAGUGAUAUAAGUAAGUUCCUAUCUCAUUAGUCUAUUCAUAAAAUAACAGGAAAAUAAUUACCAGGCGUUAAACUCCCAAGUGGAUUCUGUUUAGAAAAUAACCUAUUAAUAAUUUAGUUUACUGCUAAUAUACUGUCCGUCAAGCGUAGAUUUGUCGAAAGGCAUUACAACUAUAAUCCAAAAUUCCUCUUUCUCCCUUGGGAUCCGCAAUGCUCCAGGAUUAUGACGUGAUCCAUCGGAGCAUCAGCUUGUUCCGUAUGAUGUACGAUAUUUCGGCUUGAAUUCAAAUUCUUAGCAGCUUCGGCAAAUUUUAUGUUGAGUCUGACUUGGCCAGUCCAG